GAUAACUGUUCAGACAAGUGAGAGGAAUGAAGGAGUAACGACCUGAAACUCUCCCAGUGAGAUUCCCGACAGCAUACGUUAGGCAUAGCGUGAUGUUGGAAGCAGGGUAAAAAAUGCAAUCACUAUCCGAAGUGCCCUACAGGGCAACCGAAAUCCAUUCGGAAUAAUAAACCAAAUGGAACUGAUAAA
rnacentral:ncRNA from 1 species